GAGGUCUUAAUAAUUAAAUUAGAGAGAAAGAAAGAACAACAAAAAAAAAAAAAAAAAAAAAAAGAAAGAAAGAGAGAGGGUUCGGCCAAGGUAUGGCCAAGCAUGGCCAUGGGAGAUUUGAUCAAGAAAAAUUAUUUCUUUCAAGCUUUUAUACUAAGUGGAAGGUUCUCUACAACGUGGAGUAUUCGUUGGAACAAGUGAAUCAUUCGUUUCGCAAAAAUGAGGUUCUAGCCGGGAAAAGGAACUAGUGCUAAGAUUAACAAGUUGGACGAAUAAGCGUAGCUAGUAAGGCGCGGCGCAGGUACACCCAGAUGAGCUGAGGCCCUUAUAGAAGAUGUUCCAGCGAAGUUGGCGAGCUCCAGUUAGCCCGGGAGUGUAGCCGAGUCAGUGUAUAUGUGCCAUGGUUUCCGAUUGCAGUUAGAGACUUUGCAGACAGAGUCGUGGGUAUAGAGCGUCAGCUUUGUAGACGGCUUCGCUUGUCAAUAUGUUAUUACGUUUCAUGUCACGCGUUCCAUAUGAUGAUACACUCUCCAAAAAAAAAAAUAUUGAGAGCUUACUAUGCAUUUUAUUCUGAAUUGAUUCCAGAGUUUAUUUAUGUAAUAAGAGUCAGCGGGUUCGCUCGGCUCCAAAUAU